GCUAGCUUCAGCAGACAUAUAUUGAAAUUGGAACGACAUAGAGAAGAGUAGCAUAGCCCCUGGGCAAGGUUGAUGUGCAAAUUUGGGAAGGAUUUCACAUGUUU
ensembl:snRNA U6 U6 spliceosomal RNA